rnacentral:rRNA from 1 species
AUUGAACGCUGGCGGAAUGCUUUACACAUGCAAGUCGAGCGGCAGCACGGGGGCAACCCUGGUGGCGAGCGGCGAACGGGUGAGUAAUACAUCGGAACAUGCCCAGUCGUGGGGGAUAACACUUCGAAAGAAGUGCUAAUACCGCAUACGUCCUGAGGGAGAAAGCGGGGGAUAUUCGGACCUCGCGCGAUGGGAGUGGCCGAUGUCAGAUUAGCUAGUUGGUGGGGUAAAGGCCUACCAAGGCAACGAUCUGUAGCUGGUCUGAGAGGAUGAGCAGCCACACUGGGACUGAGACACGGCCCAGACUCCUACGGGAGGCAGCAGUGGGGAAUUUUGGACAAUGGGGGCAACCCUGAUCCAGCCAUUCCGCGUGAGUGAAGAAGGCCUUCGGGUUGUAAAGCUCUUUCGGCAGGAACGAAACGGCGAGCUCUAACAUAGCUUGCUAAUGACGGUACCUGAAGAAGAAGCACCGGCUAACUACGUGCCAGCCGCCGCAGUAACAC